rnacentral:rRNA from 1 species
UACGUAGGGCGCAAGCGUUGUCCGGAAUUAUUGGGCGUAAAGAGCUCGUAGGCGGCCAGUUGCGUCCGCUGUGAAAUCCCGGGGCUUAACCCCGGGCGUGCAGUGGAUACGGGCUGGCUAGAGGCAGGCAGGGGAGAACGGAAUUCCCGGUGUGAGCGGUGAAAUGCGCAGAUAUCGGGAGGAACACCGGUGGCGAAGGCGGUUCUCUGGGCCUUACCUGACGCUGAGGAGCGAAAGCGUGGGGAGCAAACAGG